rnacentral:rRNA from 1 species
UACGUAGGUGGCAAGCGUUAUCCGGAAUUAUUGGGUGUAAAGGGUGUGUAGGCGGGACUUUAAGUCAGACGUGAAAAUCAAGGGCUCAACCCUUGACCUGCGUUUGAAACUGGAGUUCUUGAGAGUGGGAGAGGUAAACGGAAUUCCUGGUGUAGCGGUGAAAUGCGUAGAUAUCAGGAGGAACACCGGUGGCGAAGGCGGUUUACUGGACCACAACUGACGCUGAGACACGAAAGCGUGGGGAGCAAAC